rnacentral:rRNA from 1 species
GGGGAUAACGAUUGGAAACGAUCGCUAAUACCGCAUGACAUAGCGGAACCGCAUGGUUUUGCUAUCAAAGAUUUUAUCGCUGAUAGAUGGGCUCGCGUCCGAUUAGAUAGUUGGUGGGGUAACGGCCUACCAAGUCGACGAUCGGUAGCCGGACUGAGAGGUCGAACGGCCACAUUGGGACUGAGACACGGCCCAGACUCCUACGGGAGGCAGCAGUGGGGGAUAUUGCACAAUGGGGGAAACCCUGAUGCAGCGACGCCGCGUGAGGGAAGACGGUCCUCUGGAUUGUAAACCUCUGUCUUCGGGGACGAAACGAGACGGUACCCGAGGAGGAAGCCACGGCUAACUACGUGCCAGCAGCCGCGGUAAUACGUAGGUGGCAAGCGUUGUCCGGAAUUACUGGGUGUAAAGGGAGCGUAGGCGGGCAGGCAAGUCAGGCGUGAAAUAUAUCGGCUCAACCGGUAACGGCGCUUGAAACUGCAGGUCUUGAGUGAAGUAGAGGUUGGCGGAAUUCCUAGUGUAGCGGUGAAAUGCGUAGAUAUUAGGAGGCAACACCAGUGGCGAAGGCGGCCCACUGGGCUUUUACUGACGCUGAGGCUCGAAAGUGUGGGGAGCAAACAGGAUUAGAUACCCUGGUAGUCCACACCGUAAACGAUGAUUACUAGGUGUGGGGGGACUGACCCCUUCCGUGCCGGAGUUAACACAAUAAGUAAUCCACCUGGGGAGUA